rnacentral:tRNA from 1 species
UAAUUAUUUUGGCAGAUUAGUGUUAUGAAUUUAGAAUUUAUGGGUGUAAAUAUUUUACAAAUA